ACAGAGUAACGGGAUCAAGGCAUUUGUUGAUAAGAAAGAUGUUUUUGCCGAAGCAACUGAAAUGGGCAUCACGACGAUGCAACUCGGCGUGCACAACGAGGUGGAUAUAGCCAGCGGUCAUUGCCAGAUCCUUUUUUGAAGCCCGGAAUCCUGGCUGCUGAACAACAAGUGGAGGGACAUGCUAGGCUCCUAUGUUUUUCAAGCCAACGUAAUGGGUAUCGUCAUGGGCCGAAGUUCAUCUAACUUACAAAUGUGGUCAGGCUUUAAAAGGGCAGACGCCAUUUCGCGACAGCUUCGCCAAGUUGGGGGACCUUAGAUCCUUAGUUAAAGCUGCUAAGUACACCUGUGCUGGCAUUGACCGCUUCUGCUGAUCGGGAAUCCAGAGCCAGGGUUAUGAAACGGCUUCAGAUGGACAAUCCAAUCAUUUUGGCUCUGAGCCCAAACAGAACAAACAUCAGACUGGGUCUGAUUAAAGUACCUGGCCAUACACUGGAGUGCCUACACUGGAUUGUGAGGGAUGUUAGUACAAAGCUCGACCCAGCAGUUAAGACGGUACUUUAUAAUGGAGUCACUAGUUGUCUGCGGAAAGCUUUGUUACUGCUAUUUUGAGGAACACACCACAUCUGUUGAUCUAGGACAUCUGUGCUGCACUCACUGCCAUUCUGUUUGUUCUUGUGAACCUGAAGGUUGUGGGGAGCUAAUCCCCAAAUAUGAACACUUUCAAGGGGAGGUUUCAUCACACCACAAACACAGAAUAGUCACACCUGAGGGCACACUUUUGAUCAGGGAACUGUUACAAACUUACAGGAGUAGUUUACUUCAGGACCAUACAAACAUACCACUUUACACAGUCGACACAGCCUGCACUGGUUUUGGAGAUGAACUCAUUGAUCGGUUUUAGAACAGUGCACACAGAUAUUUGACCUGGACUUCAUUAUCCAUAAUCUCCCUACAUACAAACUGGAACAUGCAAAAGAGAUACUAUGAAUUAUGCAUGAGGUUUUUGAUGACAUCGAACAGAGUCAAACUAAUUUGUUUGAUGACAGUGUUGUUCAGGAUGACCGUGUUCAGGUUGACAUGGAUUACACUGGUUACUUUGAUGACGAGGAUGAGGAUGAUAAGAUACAAUCAUCACCAAGUAACUUGGAAUCAGGCUUGUCAAUGUUGAAGAUCUCAGACUAGCUUCAAAUUCAGGCUCAAAUUUGUAGCUUCAGGGUCUUGUUGUUGUGCAAAUGCCUUUUUUUUUACCUCUGUUACAUUAAUAUUUUUGAAUAA